GUGGAGAACCAUCCAGCAGAUGCAAGGAGUCACGUAGAUGGAUGUGCCCGUCGAUUGAGGAAAUGAGGAUGAUUGGUUGAGGAGAAUGUGGGCGCGCUCGUGAUCGGCGCGUGAACAGCACUAGAAGCCAAGAGAUAAAUGCAUGAUCACUGCUAGAGAACAAAAGAAUCCUGCUCAGUUACAUAAGAGCGCACGAGGGCACUGCAUGCACGGCAUUCUGAUUGGGCAGGAAGGGGGGCGUACACACGUGAAUAUAUACUGCUGUAAGUGCUUGGUGCGGGGCGGCCGCCAUUAGCAUUAGUACAUUAGCAUUAGUAAUAAAAGAAGUUUGCCACUCACCUCGUCUGCGGGUCGUUCUUGCGGGCCGAGAGCGACAACUGGUGCCGAAACCCGGGACCUCCCACCUUUAAACGCAGAACGAAGGUCGAGGAUGCGCCUGCUCCACUCUGGGUGCCCGAACGCCUCACCAGGCUGGUGGCCGUGGAACCUGUGGAGGAUGCUGGUGAUGAUGAUGAUAGCGACGACGACUGUCCUGCAGCCUGUUCCCAUGAAGGCGGAGCCAGUUCAACUGUGGCCGAUACAAGAGACUGCCCAGCUUCAGCCCCUUUUUCAAAUAGCUCAGCAUAGAGUGCAUUUUUCUCACCCGAACUCAUGUUUGCUACUGAUGCUUAUCUUAAUGCAACAGGUGUUGGCAGCCCAGGGCUCAUUAUAUUGGGCAUACGUCCCCGAUCCACCCCUAUAGCUCAUAACAACUUAUCCUUAGCAGUUAACUGUUGCUCAGCUUGCUGAAAACUUUGUAAACUCCUUGUUUUCUCACUUCCCUUCCCUGACGUAUGCUUGGUAUAUUGCAGGAACAAUUAUAGGAGUGUUAGUGGUAAUUGUUCUUUUCAUGUGCUUCUUGCCCUGUGCAAUUAAAAUCAUACUCGCAGAGGUUUAUAAGUUAAGAGCCAUUAUAUGUAACCAUCAGCUAAUCAACCGCAGUAAGCUCAGAGAGCGGCCUUAAACGCCGCUCAAGUAUCUCUUGGCUCCUCCUCCUUAAGCUGUUAUGACAAUCAAUCUCUUUCCUCAAAACUAGGCAGGCAUAAGAGCCUUGAUGAUUCCGGCUCAAAUACUCCUAAAAUGCAUCUGCAGAAUUGUAUGACAACAAUGGCUACAGCAAUGGGCUUUGGUCUGAGCCAUGAUGGCUCUGGAGGCUAGCACCUCCCCCCCCCCCAAAAAAUAUGGCUUAGUACGCUGGGUCGGUAGCCAAAGACGGGUAAGACUGAUCCCUCACCAUAGCAACCUAAGACAGGGGCUCCUCGGCCCAGGGGAGUACCUGAUGACGGGUAAGCAUGUGUGCUGAGGAUUGGCAACCUAAGACAGGCACGAUCCCUGCCAUAUACAAAAUAAAAAAGGGGGAGCUGUGGAGAGCCAUCCAGCAGAUGCAAGGAGUCACGUAGAUGGAUGUGCCCGUGGAUUGAGGAAAUGAGGAUGAUUGGUUGAAGAGAAUGUGGGCGCGCUUGUGAUCGGCGCGUGAACAGCACUAGAAGCCAAGAGAUAAACCCAUGAUCACUGCUAGAGAACAAAAGAAUCCUGCUCGGUUACAUAAGAGCGCACGAGGGCACUGCAUGCACGGCAUUCUGAUUGGGCAGGAAGGGGGGCGUACACACGUGAAUAUAUACUGCUGUAAGUGCUUGGUGCGGGGCGGCCGCCAUUAGCAUUAGUACAUUAGCAUUAGUAAUAAAAGAAGUUUGCCACUCA